CAAUCUAUCAUUUUAAUUGCAUUGUUUUCCUGGGCCCUGGUAAUUGGGAGGACGCGAUCCGUUAUUCGGCUUUCCUGGCGCUGCUUGCUUUGCUGCUGAUGGACUAGGCAUAAGUAUUUCAGCACCUGCACAACCUCCUCAAUGUCAGAGCCAAGUCAAAAAGCGAGAGGAGGCCCCAGGGAGGGGAGGCAGCCCAAGGCAAUGGGCCAGCUUAUAACGCUCAAGCUGCCUGAUGAGUAUGGGUAGGAGAUUUUAGGAUUUUUGUGCUUCAUCAUUUGGACAGUUAACUUUGCCCUUAAGUAUUUUCCCCCAUCCCCAACUGGAAGACAGAUCUGCCGUUCACAUUAGUAAAACACAGGAAGGUCAAAACAAACAGAAAACUAACUCUUGUACUGAAGUCCUUGGCACUCCAAGACAGACACAGAUCACAAAGCCCAAGCAAGAGGCCAUUUUGGGUGGGGAAAUGUGUUUCAGGUGCACUCUCCUUCUGUCUUCUGUAACCCCAGGCAACCAGUGUGCACUGCUUGUAAUCUUGCAGGUGCAGCACCUUGCGGAAAGCAAAUGUAGGCAUCCUGAGGAAUACUGAUUUAUAUAUUAUGAAGUCACUGAGGGGAUGGAGAGGAUAGAACAAGGUUGCUUAGCCAAGAUCCACUGACAAAAAUCAAAGUCCACCCUCCAAAACAAGACACUGCUCACAAUUGAUCUUUAUAAUAUGAUCAUCCCUCUCCUUGUGUGCUUGCUUUAUGCUGUAGGUUUACACUCAUUUCAUAUGGUGAAGAUUUCCUUUGUCACCAUAACGGCUAGAGACUAGUUACAUGCCUAACUCCCAUUGAUUUCAGUAUCUUUGAGGAUCUGGACCUAAGGGUUUAUCUAUAUUUGGGAGUCGGCCAUCAGUCCCCAGAAAUGGAGAUAUAAUAUGUUGUGAGGAUAAAUACAAGACGCUUUGAGAUCUACUGAUGAAAAGUGCUAUAUGAGAGCUGGGUAUCAUUACCAUUCAAGUGCCAACAAGGAAAGCUGCUAUUUGUGAGUUUACCAAGGAGAACACAAACCAAAUGGAUUUUCCUUCAUUGCCUGUGUUGUUGUCAUAAGCAUAACUGAUAACGUCAAUGUCGUCAGCACAAUUCUAGGAAAUACAGUUCAUUAGUUAACCUGCUGGGUAUGUUGCCAUCUUUUCAACAGUAAAAACAAAGCUGUUGGGAGACCAGCAUUUACAAUGGAUAUCAAUUGCCUAUUAAAAGUUUCUUGGUGGAGUAGCAGAUUCCAAAAAUAGGUUUUUAGGAUCCACAGGAUACUUCUAAACCAGCAUAGAGUAUUUUUACGGUCACUGGUCUAAGACUCAGGAGACACUCUCUAUGCCUCCUUUUGCACCCUUUAUCCGUCUGGUCUAUAUAGACUGUACGCUCUUUGAAGUGGGAACUGUCUCUCAUUCUUCGUAGAGUGGAAAGUGCAGUGGGAUCUGAUCUGGGUUAGGGCUGCUGUGUGCUACCAUAAUACAAAUAUUAAAUAAAAAUAACUCAGAACAGUGACUAAGAUUAAGUAUCAAAUUAAUUUUAAUUUGCUAAAACUGGACGUUCUAAAUAACCUAGCCAACAUAUGCAUUAGCAAGAGAUACAAUUAAUAUAAUAUAUACUUGUAUUCCUAAUAAUCUAUUUGUGAUUGAUGGAAUCCAAAAUUAUAUAUAGACCCACAAUAUUGUAUGCCUGCAAUACGUACAGUAUUACAAGA